rnacentral:tRNA from 1 species
ACCUGGAUGGCUCAGUUGGUUGAGCAUCUGACUUUGGCUUAGGUCAUGAUCUCGUGGUUGGUGGGUUUGAGCCCCACAUCAGGCU